rnacentral:rRNA from 1 species
GAUGAACGCUGGCGGCGUGCCUAAUACAUGCCAGUCGAGCGAACGGACGAGAAGCUUGCUUCUCUGAUGUUAGCGGCGGACGGGUGAGUAACACGUGGAUAACCUACCUAUAAGACUGGGAUAACUUCGGGAAACCGGAGCUAAUACCGGAUGAUAUUUUGAACCGCAUGGUUCAAAAGUGAAAGACGGUCUUGCUGUCACUUAUAGAUGGAUCCGCGCUGCAUUAGCUAGUUGGUAAGGUAACGGCUUACCAAGGCAACGAUGCAUAGCCGACCUGAGAGGGUGUCCGGCCAACUGGGACCUGGACACGGGCCCGACUCCCUCGGGGAGGACCAGGUGGGGAAUUUUCCGAAAUGGGCGAAAGCCUGACGGAGCAACCCCGCGUGGGGGAUGAGGGUCUUCGGAUCGUAAACCCCUUUUUUUGGGGAAAAAAAUAUGUGUAAGUAACUGUGCAACUCUCGACGGUCCCAAAGCAAAAAGCCCCGGCUACCUCCGU